UACGGGGGGGGCAAGCGUUGUUCGGAAUUACUGGGCGUAAAGCGCACGUAGGCGGCUUUGCAAGUUAGAGGUGAAAGCCCGGGGCUCAACUCCGGAAUUACCUUUAAAACUGCAUCGCUAGAAUUGUGGAGAGGUAAGUGGAAUUCCGAGUGUAGAGGUGAAAUUCGUAGAUAUUCGGAAGAACACCAGUGGCGAAGGCGACUUACUGGACACAUAUUGACGCUGAGGUGCGAAAGCGUGGGGAGCAAACAGG
rnacentral:rRNA from 1 species